rnacentral:rRNA from 1 species
CCUACGGGGGGCUGCAGUGGGGAAUAUUGCACAAUGGGCGAAAGCCUGAUGCAGCAACGCCGCGUGAGUGAUGAAGGCCUUCGGGUUGUAAAGCUCUGUCUUUGGGGACGAUAAUGACGGUACCCAAGGAGGAAGCCACGGCUAACUACGUGCCAGCAGCCGCGGUAAUACGUAGGUGGCAAGCGUUGUCCGGAUUUACUGGGCGUAAAGGAUGCGUAGGCGGAUAUUUAAGUGAGAUGUGAAAUUCCCGGGCUUAACUUGGGAGCUGCAUUUCAAACUGGAUAUCUAGAGUGUGGGAGAGGAGAAUGGAAUUCCUAGUGUAGCGGUGAAAUGCGUAGAGAUUAGGAAGAACACCAGUGGCGAAGGCGAUUCUCUGGACCAUAACUGACGCUGAGGCACGAAAGCGUGGGUAGCAAACAGGAUUAGAUACCCGAGUAGUC